rnacentral:miRNA from 1 species
UAUUUUUGCUCGGACAUUUAU